AACAGCGUAAUUCAGAGGAAGAAUGCAAGGCUCAUAACCUUGAAGUCGCUGGAUCGAAACCAGCCGCUGUUA